GAGUGUGACCAGCAAGAAGUCUGCUGUGCAACCCCUCUGCUCACUGAGACUGACAAUUACAUGCUUUGGUAGUGAGAACUGCUUCCUUCAGCUGCAGAGAUCUGAAGUGAUGUAUCUGUAAAAGUAAUUGCUUAGUCUGUGUCAUCUCCCAGCUGCUUCUCUUCUCCCAGGUACCAAGUCCUUUUUGUACUAUUUUUAUUUUAUCCUUAGUCGGGGAUGGCUGCGAUGGAGCUCUCUCUGAUAGUCUGCCCCUUUUUGAAAGGAGGUGUGCAGCUUGAAUAAAACCUGUGCCUCAGGAAGCGAGCAGAAGCAUGUGUAGUUUAAAUAUGUGUGUUCUGCAGGGUACUUCGUGUCUUGGGCAUCUUGAAUAGAAGCAAAGUUUCUGCUAACCUGUUCGGUGAAUUCCUCCCCUUCCUCACCUUCUAUAGAUUCUUAACCAGAGCUUUCCUGGCCCUGCUCGUUCUUCGAUACUUUCUGACAGCUCUAGAGAAGUCCUUGUGGCUUUCCCAUCUCCAAGUAACAGGUUUACUUCACUCUGUUCCACCUGCAGGGCUUUUUUAUCAGCCCAAGCAAUAAUUGUAUAAUUUGGAAAGCAUUCCCUGAAACUUAAGUGAUUUUUUUUUCCCCCCUCCCUUCAUUUUCUGCAGGAGUCGAGUCUGUGACGCACAGGAGCAGUUAACUGUCUGGUAACAACUAAAUAGGCAAAAGAUUUUUCCAGGAAGUUGGCAACAGUACAUGCUGGAAAGAAGUUCUUCAGUAUCUCUUUCACUGAAAUUGGUGGUUCAUCAACACUGUCUGUAAUUUCUGUUUCGCUUGCACAGCAGCAGAAUUCAGUAUGAAUUGCAAAUAAAAGGCAAGUCAUCGUUAUGCACUUUUUUUUUUGGGCACAGGGAGUUGAAUUAACUCUGCUCACUUUUAGAAUGUUUUUCCCUGUUGUAGAAAGAAAAUAAAGAAAUUAGGCCCUUA